GAUCAUGGCUCAGAACGAACGCUGGCGGCAUGCCUAACACAUGCAAGUCGAGCGGGGACUUCGGUCCUAGCGGCGGACGGGUGAGUAACGCGUGGGAACGUGCCCUUUGCUUCGGAAUAGCCCCUGGAAACGGGGAGUAAUACCGGAUGUGCCCUUUGGGGGAAAGAUUUAUCGGCAAAGGAUCGGCCCGCGUUGGAUUAGGUAGUUGGUGGGGUAAUGGCCUACCAAGCCGACGAUCCAUAGCUGGUUUGAGAGGAUGAUCAGCCACACUGGGACUGAGACACGGCCCAGACUCCUACGGGAGGCAGCAGUGGGGAAUCUUAGACAAUGGGCGCAAGCCUGAUCUAGCCAUGCCGCGUGAGCGAUGAAGGCCUUAGGGUUGUAAAGCUCUUUCGUGGGGGAAGAUAAUGACGGUACCCCAAGAAGAAGCCCCGGCUAACUCCGUG
rnacentral:rRNA from 1 species